rnacentral:rRNA from 1 species
UGGGGAAUCUUGGACAAUGGGGGCAACCCUGAUCCAGCGACGCCGCGUGGGUGAUGAAGGCCUUCGGGUUGUAAAGCUCUUUUGCCCGGGAUGAUAAUGACCGUACCGGGAGAAUAAGCCCCGGCUAACUCCGUGCCAGCAGCCGCGGUAAUACGGAGGGGGCUAGCGUUGUUCGGAAUUACUGGGCGUAAAGCGCACGUAGGCGGCUUUUCAAGUCAGAGGUGAAAGCCCGGGGCUCAACUCCGGAAU